rnacentral:rRNA from 1 species
AAUAGAUACCCCGGUAGUCCACGCCGUAAACGGUGGGUACUAGGCGUGGGUUUCCUUCCUUGGGAUCCGUGCCGUAGCUAACGCAUUAAGUACCCCGCCUGGGGAGUACGGCCGCAAGGCUAAAACUCAAAGGAAUUGACGGGGGGCCCGCACAAGCGGCGGAGCAUGUGGAUUAAUUCGAUGCAACGCGAAGAACCUUACCUGGGUUUGACAUGCACAGGACGCCGGCAGAGAUGUCGGUUCCCUUGUGGCCUGUGUGCAGGUGGUGCAUGGCUGUCGUCAGCUCGUGUCGUGAGAUGUUGGGUUAAGUCCCGCAACGAGCGCAACCCUUGUCCUAUGUUGCCAGCGGGUUAUGCCGGGGACUCGUAGGAGACUGCCGGGGUCAACUCGGAGGAAGGUGGGGAUGACGUCAAGUCAUCAUGCCCCUUAUGUCCAGGGCUUCACACAUGCUACAAUGGCCGGUACAAAGGGCUGCGAUGCCGUGAGGUGGAGCGAAUCUUGGUAAAGCCGGUCUCAGUUCGGAUCGGGGUCUGCACUCGACCC